rnacentral:rRNA from 1 species
CUGUUUCCUGAUCAAUGCUAAUCAGAUCAGGGUUAGUCGGGGCCUAAGGAUAAUCCGAAGGGAAAGGCCGAUGGACAACUGGUUAAUAUUCCAGUACUUGCUAAUGUAGUGAUGAGAUUACGAAGAAGUGAAAGAUCUGCGCACUGACGGAUAUGUGCGUUAAAGCUUGUAGAUUUAGGCAAUGGAGGAAAAUCCCCAUAGCUUAUCGAAGGUGACAGUACCACAAGUCUUCGGACAAGUGGAUAAUGAUCCUAAUCAUGCUUCCGAGAAAAACCUCUAAACUUAUACACUAGCAACCCGUACCGUAAUCCGACACAGGUAGUCGAGGAGAAAAUCCUAAGGUGCUCGAGUGAAUCAUGGCCAAGGAACUAGGCAAAUUAACCCUGUAACUUCGGGAAAAAGGGUACCCUUCGCAAGAAGGGUCGCAGUAAAAAGGCCCAGGCGACUGUUUAACAAAAACACAUGGCUUUGCAAAAUCGAAAGAUUACGUAUAAGGCCUGACACCUGCCCGGUGCUGGAAGGUUAAGAGGAGAUGUCAGUCGCAAGACAAAGCAUUGAAUCGAAGCCCCAGUAAACGGCGGCCGUAACGAUAACGGUCCUAAGGUAGCGAAAUUCCUUGUCGGGUAAGUUCCGACCUGCACGAAUGGUGUAACGAUCUGGGCACUGUCUCAGCCAUGAGCUCGGUGAAAUUGUAGUAUCGGUGAAGAUGCCGAUUACCCGCAACGGGACGGAAAGACCCCGUGCACCUUCACUAUAACUUUGCAUUGAGUUUGGGUCAUUGAUGUGUAGGAUAGGUGGGAGACUUUGAAGUGGUGGCGCCAGCCAUCAUGGAGUCAACCUUGAAAUACCACCCUUCAAUUAUUUGAAUUCUAAUCCCGCAUAGCGGGAAACAGUGCAUGGUGGGUAGUUUGACUGGGGUGGUCGCCUCCCAAAGAGUAACGGAGGCUUUCAAAGGUACCCUCAGCACGCUUGGUAACCGUGCGUAGAGUGCAAUAGCAUAAGGGUGCUUAACUGUGAGACCGACAAGUCGAGCAGAAUCGAAAGAUGGAUAUAGUGAUCCGGUGGUUCCGCAUGGAAGGGCCAUCGCUCAAAGGAUAAAAGGUACGCCGGGAUAACAGGCUGAUCUCCCCCAAGAGCUCACAUCGACGGGGAGGUUUGGCACCUCGAUGUCGGCUCGUCACGUCCUGGGGCUGGAGAAGGUCCCAAGGGUUGAGCUGUUCGCUCAUUAAAGUGGCACGCGAGCUGGGUUCAGAACGUCGUGAGACAGUUCGGUCCCUAUCUGUUGUGGGCGUUUGAAAUUUGAGAGGGCCUGACUCUAGUACGAGAGGACCGAGUCGGACGAACCUCUAGUGCACCUGUUGUCGCGCCAGCGGCACCGCAGGGUAGCUACGUUCGGUUAAGAUAAGCGCUGAAAGCAUCUAAGCGCGAAACUUGCCUCAAGAUAAGAUUUCAUUAUAAGGGUCGUCAGAGACUAUGACGUUGAUAGGUUGCAAGUAUAAAGUCAGUAAUGACAAAGCUGAGCAAUACUAAUUACUCC